GUGCUCAUUUCAGCAGCACAUAUGCUGAAAUUGGAAUGGUACAGAGAAGAUUAGCAUGCACAAGGAUGACAUGCAAAUUCAUGAAGCCUGGUGCCUCUGA
rnacentral:snRNA from 1 species